CAGUAGCCGCGGGAAAACGUAGGUGGCAAGCGUUGUCCGGAACUAUUGGGCGUAAAGGGCUCGCAGGCGGUUUCUUAAGUCUGAUGUGAAAGCCCCCGGCUCAACCGGGGAGGGUCAUUGGAAACUGGGAAACUUGAGUGCAGAAGAGGAGAGUGGAAUUCCACGUGUAGCGGUGAAAUGCGUAGAGAUGUGGAGGAACACCAGUGGCGAAGGCGACUCUCUGGUCUGUAACUGACGCUGAGACGCGAAAGCCAGGGGAGCGAACGGGAUUAGAUACCCCAGUAGUCCCUGUCUCUUAUAC
rnacentral:rRNA from 1 species